UUGAUGUACUGAUAGAAAUACACUAACCAAACAAAUACAUUUUCAUAUUCCAAUUCAUAUUAACAACACUCACAAUUUUUUUUAUCAAAUAACAAAAAAAUAUUAAAAAAGAAAGUUCGUGGUAUAUAUAUGAAGACACUAUCAUUUCUCAUUUGAUCAAUUAUACAUCUUUCCUAUGCUAAACUAACAUCGCCUGUAUGUAAAGGAUUGAAAUAAAAUGCCAAAUGAAUGAUGAUACACGCAAAUAUUGUUGUGAAGCUAUGAGUAUGACCAUGGCAUCAUCUCCAUAUGAAUCCGUCAAAGUUUUUGAAGGACGACACGUUGUUCAUUUGCAUGGAAUAAGAAGAAGGCAAGAGAGUAGUAGCUUCCUUUGUUCCAUUAGAGGCAGUAGCAGUAGCACCCACUAAUUUCUUUGGCUCAUGAGAAAAUCCUCUUUUUGAUGAAUAUGAUGAUUCAGCAUUUUGUCCUAUCCAAUCCGUGGAAGAGUUCUUCCCCGUGAGGCUCUGAACAACGUCUCUGAAGUUCGCAGCAUCGGUUUGCACGUACCUCGUUUCGAUUUGCACUAUCUUCGGAGCUUCCAUAUCUGAAGACUUUUCUUAAUUAUAAAUGCAGUACUAUGUAUGUGUGUGUUGUUUGAGUGUUGAGAGUUAAUGGAUGUGGAUGUGAGGGUUAUAUAGUUGCGAUAAGAAAGGUGUGGCCAAGAAAGAACGGAGCACGUAGGGUUUGACACUGACAAAAAUGUAAGUUUGACAUUUACGAGGGAGAGAAGAAGACAGAAAUGCAGUCUAA
rnacentral:lncRNA from 1 species